AUUGAACGCUGGCGGCAUGCUUUACACAUGCAAGUCGAACGGCAGCACGAAAGAGCUUGCUCUUUUGGUGGCGAGUGGCGAACGGGUGAGUAAUGCAUCGGAACGUACCGAGUAAUGGGGGAUAACUAUCCGAAAGGAUAGCUAAUACCGCAUACGCUUUGAGAAGGAAAGUGGGGGCUCUUCGGACCUCACGUUAUUCGAGCGGCCGAUGUCUGAUUAGCUAGUUGGCGGGGUAAAGGCCUACCAAGGCGACGAUCAGUAGCGGGUCUGAGAGGAUGAUCCGCCACACUGGGACUGAGACACGGCCCAGACUCCUACGGGAGGCAGCAGUGGGGAAUUUUGGACAAUGGGCGCAAGCCUGAUCCAGCCAUGCCGCGUGUCUGAAGAAGGCCUUCGGGUUGUAAAGGACUUUUGUUGGGGAAGAAAAGGAUAGUGUUAAUACCAUAUCUGCUGACGUACCUAAAGAUAGCCC
rnacentral:rRNA from 1 species